ensembl:lncRNA
AACAUUUUCUCUUAUCAGGGAGGAAGGAAGCUAAAAGACUGCACUCUGCCAUGGCAAUGGCAUGAGUAGGGAGGAGGGAAAUGAGGGUCUAGCUUUUUUGUUCUAGGCUUACUGGGCAAAGAAAAAAAAGUAACAAGACUGGGUGACUAUGAAUAUUUAAACCAGAGUCCCAUGAGGGCUCUGUAUGUGCACGAGGUGAUCCUGGUGAAAUUUUGGCAGCAUAUGUGCCUCUGUGAUAGAAGUUUGAAGCUGUCUUGUGAUGCAGGGCUCUUGUGAUUCAGAUAGAGCCAAUUACAGAUGGUUCUCAACAGCCCAAUGCAGGGCACAACCAAUCCUCUGAGCAGGGCUGUGGAUACCUUAAGCCUUCUUUGUAAAUUGAGCUCUCUGAGACUACUCUAACGUCUGGACCGGAAAACUGCAGAAAGAGAAACUGCAGUGAAUCAAGGAGGAAAAGGAGGGAGAAAUAUCACUGAUUAAAUUAGCUAUUAACAAACACCACACUUGCCUCUGUAUUGACUCCUGAGGUCAGUAUACAGAACAUCAUCUCUACUAAGCAGAGCUGAACACAAAAAUAACAUACUCUGAUCACCAGUUCAUUGGAAGAACAAUCAGGAGGAAUAGAGGUUUUCCUCUAUGCAUCUGAAAAAGAGAAGAAGCGAACGUGCUGCAAGGGAAAACAGGCCUCUUGGUCAAGGAGCAGUAUACCAGGAGAUGACUGUACAAAUGUUUCAGAAUCCACUAUCCAAAAAAAGUACAGUAGGAAGCAAUACUAUAAGCCACAUUGUUGCAUUUCUCCAUCAUAAAGGAACAUGAAUAUGCCCCCAAAUGAAGAAUAAGAUUCUGGAAAAAAAGAUCCACCCAAAGUCUGCAUUUUUAAAGAAAAAAGCGUGCAUCAUCUUCCAGCCCCUGUGAGUCGAAGAAAAAGGUACAUGAGCAAAAAAGAGCCAUGCAAGAUAUCUGCUGCUGCCUACAGGUUAUCUAAAUGAACGCUUCCACAAAGUAUGACUGUCACUGUCCCCUAUGUCUAAAUCUUUUAAAUCAAAUAAGAUCUAAGUUACAUAAGUUAAUGAUCAGAUGUCACUAAGUAAUGCUAUAUUUUUUUAGAUUGACUUUUUGUCUUUGAGAGUAAAACAUAGAAGCAUUAUAUGCACCUCCAGAUGUUGCAGUGCUGGAGAGAGGAUAUUCAUUUAUUUAUCAAACAUAAUCUGUGAGAAUAUGUGUUUUAAGUUCUCAAAUGUAUAACAUUUUCUGAAUCCAUGUUUUUCAUAGCAUUCACUGUAAUAAUUAGCUAAGAAAUAUUUGAAAAGUAAUUUUUUUCACCUCUCAAUAAACAGAAGAUAUUCACAGAGUGUUUUCUUCAAGAUGGACUGACAAAAAUAAGAAUUUUUCAUGUUCUAAUCAUUUAGUUGUUGAUGAAUGGCAUAUUCAUGGAAAUUUCCUUACUGACAGUGGUAUCAGAUCUACAGAUCUUGAUCCAGGAACUCAUUCAAAUACUUCUACUAAUCUAGUUUUCCAAUGAGAAAUACCUUUACUGGUUAUAUUUAAACUUUGGGAAAAGAAGGUUACAAUCAAGGAAGGGAAUAACUAUCAUGUUAUCAUGUUUCUAAUUUAACAGAAAUAAUGUUUGGUUGUGUAGGGAGAACUGUACUAGAGAUGCUAGACUAGCUGCUAAAGGGUAUAUGGGAAAAUGAGGGAAAUCAUAGUUGUUGCUAUCACAAAUUGUCAGUUGUGCGGUGAAUAAACACUAGUUUCAUAUUCAUGUGCGAUGGACUAUGCAGCAGACACUGUCCCUGUGGUAACAAAUGCUAGAAAAAGGUUUUCCAUGUAAGUCCAUUGAAUCACAGUUUCUUGAUUCCAGUCUUCUAACAUAUAUAACAUGUGCCACAUCAUUGAGUGCAUCAUUCACUUCUUUCUUUCCAUCCUUCAGAUGUUCAGUACUAUAAAUUAAACACACAGGAGUAAUCCAGAUGGAAAAUGGAACACAUUUUUGUCAGUACUUUUGAAGAUAUUGAAGAGAAGUUGUGGAGAAAAAGCCUUUAUUUUCACUUCCAUCAUUUCUGCAUCCUAUGUAUAUCCUAUAUAUAUUGGAACCAACUAUCUACAGCUUCUUUGUAUGAGGUCAAUGCUAUUCCUGUAAACAUUAGAUGUUCUGUUGUUAUUUGCAAUUAAUCCAACAACAACUGCUGAAAUUAAGUCACAACUCUCCCGAGCUGAAACAAGUACCUUCCAUAAAGAUGAAAAGGAUUAGACCUAUAUUUUAUAACACAUCCACAUUUUAUGAGGAUGCAGUUGGUGUUAAGCAAUCAUCUAUUUGGUGUUGAAUUGAUUACAAUCUUAAUUAAAAGCUGCUU